rnacentral:rRNA from 1 species
UGACGGUACCUGCAGAAGAAGCGCCGGCUAACUACGUGCCAGCAGCCGCGGUAAUACGUAGGGCGCGAGCGUUGUCCGGAAUUAUUGGGCGUAAAGAGCUUGUAGGCGGUUUGUUGCGUCUGCUGUGAAAGACCGGGGCUUAACCCCGGUAUUGCAGUGGGUACGGGCAGACUAGAGUGCAGUAGGGGAGACUGGAAUUCCUGGUGUAGCGGUGAAAUGCGCAGAUAUCAGGAGGAACACCCCGAUGGCGAAGGCCAGGUUCUCUGGGCCUGUAANCUGACGCUGAAAAGCGAAAGCCUGGGGAGCGAACAGGAUUANAUACCCUGGUAGUCCAUGCCGUAAACGUUGGGCACUANGUGUGGGGGACAUUCCACGUUUU